GGAUUUCCAAUCCGGAGACGGCGGGUUCGAUUCCCGUUCGGGUCGGAAAAUUUUCUCGACUCCCUGGGCAUAGAGUAUCAUUGUACUUGCCUCACAAUAUACAAAUUCAUGCAAUGGCAGGCAAAGAAAGCCCUUCAAUUAAUAACUGUGGAAGUGCACAAAGAACACUAAGUUGAAGCGAGGCAAGCCAAGUCCCAGUGCGGACGUAGAGCCAUAAAGAAGAAGAAGAAGAAGAAGAUAUGUAUGCUGCUUCGAAGUCUGCCGCCGUCGUUCGAUGGUCUAGUAACAGCUCUGGACAGUCGGGCAGAUGACGACAUUUCGCUCGAUGUUGUAAAAUCGAAGCUCGUCGAUGAGUACAACCGACAGCUGGAAAGAAGAGGUGGAUCUGUUGGGGGAGAAAGGGCCAUGCGAUCCACGGAAGGUAAGUCGGGGGGAGAUCCUCGAGUUUGCCAUUUCUGCAAAAACGUUGGCCAUAUCAAGCGGAACUGCCGUAAGUUCCUAGCAAUGCUGAAGGAGGAAGCGGAUACUUCCUGCACCAGUUGCGGCGAAUGCGGAAAGGCCAAAACCGCCCAAAGUGAUACGCGAAGUGUUGCAUUCACCGUCGGAGAAGAGAAUUUCAAUCGCUGGGUGAUUGACAGUGGCGCAAGUGCGCAUAUGUGUAAGGACAGAUCAUGCUUCGAAUCGUUGGAAGAAUUUUCUGGGGGUAACAUCAUUCUUGCGGAUGGGAAAACAAGUGAAGUUCAAGGUGAAGGACAAGUUGUAGUGCAAGGCAUUGAUGGUUCUGGCGAAACCGUUAAUAUUACCAUGAACAAAGUGAAGUUUGUACCCGAACUAACCACGAACUUGAUCUCUGUUGGACAACUGGUUCAGAAAAACUACAAAGUGUCUUUUGCCAAUGAAACAUGCGACAUAGUGAAUACUGAUGGUGAAGUUGUUGCAACUGGAUCUCGACGUGGCAAACUGUAUUACCUCAACAUGGUGCAGGUUUCGUUGGCCGCGAUGGAUGGUCGGAGCCACCGGCAGGAACGACCUGCUUACCGAUCCAAGGCUGCUGUCAAGCAAAUCGUGGACGAGCGAUUGGCUACGGGAGUCAAGAUGAAUAGCGGUUUGGAAUCGAUCCUGCGAUCAAGGAAAGGACUCGAAGUUUACUGCAAAGCUAAACAAGUUAAGUCAAGUUCCGGUUACAACAAUCGUCGUUGCGGAAUGCGGGAGUUCGAAACGGAAUUUCGACGGCCGAAUGGCUUCGAGGGUUCUACAAGGCAUGUCACAGGACCGGACGAUCUCACCGAGACGUUGGAUGAUCCUGUAUGGUUCGACACAAUCGACGACGAAGCUAGAUUGUUCUGAGGAAGAGCUGUUACAUUGAGGGGGAGUGUGGGAAUCUACAAUGUUAAUCUCUUCCAAUAAUUAAAUUACUUGUGUCUAACCCUGCCACACGCAUUCCCCUUGAUACUGGUGUGCGCGUCCAAACAUGUAAAGAACAUUUUUAUAUGAACGCAAUCAUUCGAUCGCUCGCGACCAGUCAGAGCUGUACUUUCGUGCUAAUUAAACCUAAGUUCGUUUUUCCUAAGUAAUCGCGUUUGUUAUUUCUCCACCAUACUCCGAAACACCUUUGGGCAUUCCGCUGUUGCACCUUGGAUUCUGCCAACAAUACUUAAAUAUUUCAAUAAAGCUUCCGGAACUUUACCCAUGGCAUAUUGUUGAUUGAGAUGUACAGUUGCUGUAUGCAUACAGUUGUCGUUUGCAUAAUUGUCCAAGCGCUUUCAAUAAUAUCAAAGAAAGCGACACAGUUAUGCCUAGAACGUUAGUGUAUAGACGAGACUCUAUCAUUGCUGUUUUUAAUUGCUUUUAUCUAUCUAUCGAAUCAACGUAGAUAUGUAGGUUGAAUCUGCACAAACGAAAAGUUGUUUGAUAUGAACACUGUUGUGGCGUAGAAUUUCGUCGGCACUGUUGUUAUCGUGUAUUUACCUGCGGGCAAAAACAACUCCACCAGAUUCACAAUAAUUUUCAAAAGCAAAUGUUUGCAUCCAGUUCGAUUGUGCAAGUUCCACACAUAAAUGGUGAUAUCAGAUAAGGUUGGUAGAGACGAUAUCUUUCUUAUGUGAAUUCGGGGUAACAUGUUGUUAAUAGAAAUGUUAUUUCAAAUAGUGCAUGUAUUUUGCGAUCUUAUGGAAACUUUGUAGUUCUUCUAAAUAUUAUCUGAAACGUAUGAAGCAAAACUCUAAACUUCGAGGUUAGUAUAUGUUUGGAUCUUGAGUGAAAUUUCAAAUGUUAUGCAAAACUUAGCUGAAUAUAAGCCUUCCAACAAUGACUCCAUUUUUAAAGCUAAAUAUAAUAUUAUCAUUGAUUGAGUAACACAUAUCGUUCGAGGAACCACAAUUUGAACAACCUAUUUUUCGGCUGGUCGAAAUGUGACAGAGCGCGUUAGACAAGCUAAGUGUUCCAAACGUCACAAGGCGAGCAGUGCUGUUUGCACAACUUAUCCCUGGCAGAUAAGGAAGACAAGACCAAAAAUUGAUAACGGUUGUUCCUUGUAGUUAGGGUUCCAUUUGUGCUUCAGUAACAAAUGUAUUGUACCGUGUAGGCUACGUCAGUUGAAUUGAUAACGAACCAAAUUACAGAAAAGUGUCUGCUGUUCACCGCUGACUUCCAGCAACUGCUGAUGAAUGAAAUAAUAUAUUGUGAUUUUAAAAUAGAUUGCUGCAAUGCUGCAAGCAUGGUUUUAUCGAAAAGAAAAUUGCACACCGAGGGAAUGAUUCCGAAUUUCCGGACGAUCGCGUACAGUGCUACAAAAUAUGGAAUACGGGGGAUGAUGGGAUCCCUGAGUGAUGAACUGUUCUUCAACGGAUUUGGUGACACAAUUUUCACUACAUGUGUUUAUCCC